UACCAUAAAGAAAUAGGGCCCGCAAGCUUUUCAGCAUCCAAGAAUUAUCAAGCUCAAAACCACCUAUGAAUAAACUACGCAACUUCUUACCACCACCAGUUGGAAAUGCCGCCAAAAUGGAUGCAUUUCGCCUAUCUACAUGUGCACGACGAAUGCGUGAUAUGUCAUCAGCAGCAGAACAAUUUUCCAAAGUCAAUGUCUCAGAAUUUGAAAGUGACAAUGCAAGGUCAUGCACAAGAUCAUGCAUCUUGCACCAUCUAACAUUCUCAUAUUUGUCCCUUUCAGCAUCUUGGAAAAAGGAAUUCUGAAGUAAGGCAUUAAAAUACUUGUUGCCCUCAUCUUGACUAGACGACCCAAGAAAACCUUCAGCCAUCCAAAGCUGAACUAAUUCUUUCUUUGCAAUAUAAAAAUCUUUGGGGA
rnacentral:misc_RNA from 1 species